CUCAAAAACAAAAGGAGGGGGUGGGGCCCACUCUUUCUGCACAUGCGUAGAUCUCUGAUUGCGACUACCUCGUGGUUGAUAACUCGUGUCAGGGCUAGUGAGAGAAACUCACCAGAGAAUCCAAUGGUGGCCAAGCAACUGAUGUCUCAACUCCUAUAGAUCCUAGUGACAACACAAACCAGCGAGGUUGAUGUCACUGACUACUGAAUGUGCCGGCAGAUACAUGGCACUAUCAUGCAUAUAUCGACUGAACAGCAAGCACUCAAAUAAACAACUCUAAGUGAAAACACAAAUCAGCGAGAUUGACGCUGCAUGCGUGUGCAUGGAUGGAGGCGCGAUGCAGAUACACAGCACUUACAGUGAUCGACUCAACAGUGCGUGCGGCAUGUUGGACAAGCCUUGCAGCUGUAAGGGUCCGAGACUCCCCCCCCCCCUUGAGACCCCUAAUCCAAUUACCCAAGCCCCCUCCCCCCCUGAACACACAACAUCAUACUCACGAAAUAAUAAUGUAUACUGGUACGUGCAACUGAGUCCCGUUCCUAGGACCAAGAUCUGCAGCAGAAAUCAAGAAUGAAACUGGUGUGGACCGUCUCUCUUCCAUUGUCUGAGCUCUGUGCAUAUAAGGCUGAUAUAGUAUCCGGGAAGAAGGAAGAUUUGAAGUUGUUAGAUAUUGCAAAUGGGACCGAAAGCUGAGUUAUUUGCUGUCAUUUGGUCAUCACUGCUCACUAAACAGCUGUCGUUUAGUCUCUGGUGGCUGGGUUGAGGGGUCGCCAUGCUCAAAGACUUGCCGCUUUUCUAAAAGGCGUGGAGAUGACCUGGUAGACAUGGAUGGUUUCUGCCUUUUGGACAAAACGCAGCUCCUGCAACAGCAUAAUUAUGUCAAUCUCAAUUAAAUAUUUGUAAAUGUGUAUAUCUAUAUUAUGACAUAAAUAUCGAUGUCUAGCUGUACUAUGAUUUAAAGAAAGAUUCUCACAUUGUGAAGUCAUCCAUUUUGUAUGCAUUCAUGUACUGCUGAAUGGACACGUUGAAUUCCAGAAGCUUCUCAAUGAAGGCCUUCUUCUCUUCUUGAAUAUCUGGUACAGGCUGUUUGUGCAGCUCAUAGAUCUGUAGUGCUAAUAAACACACAUACUCUAUCCUGCGUGUAUACACUUGCUAAUGACGUGAUUACAACACAUUCCCUUUCUAGAUAUGCGUACAUACAUAUAACUGUAAAUCACCUUAUCUGUUCCUCUUUGAGCCUUAAACUCUACCAAGGAAGCCAAACCAGACUCCUUCAACAUUCCAGCCAGCAAUGGCACCAGCUUUCUUGCCACGACUUUUAAGCAUUAAAAGUGCGCUGAGGUAUAGAACUCUUCCAGGAAGAAGCAGAGAAAACGCAGCGUUUUUCAAAGCAAGUUUGCUGUCGGCAUCAGAUGUUACUAUAGUUACUCCGGGUAUGCAGAUAUUAAAUUUGUUUAUUCUCAUUUGAUUGUUUUCCUUCCGCAUAAAAUCCCUCGGCCUGGUAUUCAGAAAGUAGCAUGACUUCUUCUAAUCAUUGAUCAAUCUGAGUGCCUGGAGUCGCCACUUGCCUCGAGGCAGCAAUAAUGUAGCCAAAUUGCCAUAAUUAAUUGAUCACGCGUUUCAGACAAGAAGUCACGUUUACGUUUUGAUACAUGCACAGUAUGUGUUCAUGCCCGUUUGAUACUCUCUUCUAUUUAUGGACUGUUAAGGUUGCAAUAUUAAUAUAAUUUAAGCAUGAGCAACAAGCAAUUGUAAGGCUACUAAUUGCACAAGGCGUAGUCGGAUGCUUGAGCUUGAACCCAUAGCCAACCCAAUGGAAAGUUUGGGGUGAGUUGGGGACGAUCACAUAAGUGCUGGCCACAACUUUGACACUAUAUAGGGAGGUCUGAGUGUAGAACAAUUGUUAUGAGUGGUAUCGCAAUCUUGACGUACACAUAAUGCUUACAUGUACUCACUGCGGUGCCUUAUCCUGGGUCCCACCCACCAUCACCCCACUGAUAUGCACGUUACGCCCACGCCCACCCCCACCUAGGCUUCAACCACCUUCCUUAUUAUAAACAACAGAGAGCAACUCUACAAGGAAAGUUUGUCAAAUUAUGAUCAAAUGCUAGUAUUACAAGCUGAAAUGCUUCAGAAAUUUGGGCCACAAAUCAUCUGCAUUGAUGACACUCAUAUUGACCGACUAUGUCAGACAUUUCAUCUCUUUCCUCGUUAGUGGCCAUGAAGCAGGGGUGUUGCGUAUACAAGCGUAUACAGCGUUUGGAUGGUCAUUUGUUACUACAUAUGUUACACUUGAAUUAAAGAUAGCUACUUAGCUUUCCUUUAACAACUAAUCUUAAUUAAUGUUGAAGAGAUACUAACUUCACCAUUAGAGGACACGCAUUGGGGUUAUAGGAGUUGCCAUUCUUUCACAGUUGUUCAAACUGGUAAACAACCACACAAAAGGUCACUUACCUUUUAAGUUUGAGAAGCGCUGGACAUCGUUAAUUUAUUUGGAUUUUUAUCGGGCUCACAUAACAAAUAAUUCGCUACACGUUACUACAAGUUUAUCUUACCAUCACUCGAGGAAAGGAUUAUCCUUAUAAUUAUGUUCAAGAUACAGUGCUUACCAUUCUCUUAGCAAUGUUUAAACACUUUACUAGCAAUGUCAUAUUUACUCAUUCUUAAGAAUGUAUAUCAAUCGAAAUUCUAUCUUCUUCGAACCUUUGAGCAUAUGGUUGAAUGAAGGUGCAUGGUACAAUAAUUGUUUUUGUUUUUGGUAGUCUGGAUUAGUUUCAAAAGCUCUGUAUAAGUUGGGAUUGUAGUUCUCUGCCACAGGGACAAGCACUCAACUAUGGGUACUUGUGUGCCGUUUAAAAACUGACAAUUCCUUACUCAGCUUGUUCAGCAUGAGUGAUUCCCAGUGGUUCCACGAACAUUUCCAGGUUGUCAAAAUGAGCGGCCAAAGUUCAACUCCUUUUAUAAUUAUACUGUCAGAAAUGUGUUGAGCUGCAUGCGGGCAGUAAAAUAAUCAUUCAUUUACAAGAAUUGAAGUGAGCAAUGCAUACAUUAAUUUUCAAAUUAAAAUUUGGAAUAUCUGUAGCAUCGCCUUUCUCUCUCCUUUACCCCCCCCCCCCUUCAGUUCAGAAGCUUUGUGCCUAUGUUUUUUUUACUUGUAGUCGAAUAUACAGUCCCAUGCAGGGAAGGAUGAAAACAUAAUAUGUAACAAUUGUAUUGACUUUAACACGCAUCGAGCAUAGUUUAAAUUGUCUGACCAGCUCCUUAUUAUAGCCUGGACCGCUUCCUGCAUGUAGCACGGUAGAUAAUAUAGCUUCCCGUUAGGGUGUCUGCAUGUGCUUCAUGCAUUGAAGCCCUGACACAAAGAUCAAAGUUCUUCUUUCCCACGCCAUUGCCCUCAUUUGUCUUUUUAGAGACUAAGGAAGGCUUCUUUGAGAAUUUGGUCCGGUCAGCAGGUUCACAACAUCCUGAGCUAUACUACACCUUUUAUAUAGUAGACAUGCAUGGUCCAAUUGCAGAUGCUGACCCUGUCAAGGUUCAAGUAGGUACAAAACGAUACAUGGCUUCGCAAAAUUGUGUAAAUAAAUUAAAAAAACUUGAUCCACAGUUUUCGUUUUCUUUAUUAGAUCAAUUGAUAUGAUUUGUUCUGCCAUCGCUGAUGAACUGGCAGACACACAGCAGAAUGUAUACGCUACAGAUAUUUUACAUUAAUUAUCGGUUUUGGUGCCGAUAAUCACUUGUCUUCGCUUUGUGGGGUCAGCAGUCGACCUUGUGGGCUUUCCUCCUAUUCGAUUGGGAGGCAGUAGUACACACCUGUUUGUCCUCGGAGAAUAUCAUGUCGUCCUCAAUUAGGAAAUUCUUUACACUAAGAAAGGUCUUUCUAGACUGUCUUUGCGACUACAGUUGAUCGACAUCUGUACAUAAACUGUCAAUAUAUACUACUCCUAUAUCUAUAUUGCUUCACUUAUCUUUCCUAAAGGGGGCUUCUGUGGCUUGCCAUGACAACACUUAUUAUUAACAGCACAUGGAGCUGUCUUAUAGAACUAUGGUUUAGCUUAUGAUUUAUUGUAAACAGUGGUUGCAUGCCCUUAUUUUUUUAUUUAUAAGAUAAACACAGGUGCAGUUCAAUACAUGUACAAAAAAUAAUUUAUAAUCAGACUAAUUGUGAGGUUCCAGUUAGUUACAGCCAAUGAGGCCACAUUCGGCACUCAUUAGGUCUACAGGAGAUCUUACGAAGCAUCCCGGGUGCGAGCGUACUCCCCUGAUGCAGCGAUCUCAACUAGGAGAAGGUGAGGCGACAUCUCAGCCAGGAUAUGGUUCUAUUAUAAGGAUCGUCUCUUGGAAGCCAGGAGACAGGUUAGGCGCUUAUAAAAAGUAAUUGCCUCCGUUCCGAGUCCACCUGUUACCGAGAAAACCAGGGGUGUGGACGAGGCAUGCUCUACCUCCCUGACUCUUUGUUCGUAGGCGUUCUUUUUCAGUCUUUCGUGUUUCUGAUAGCAAGUGGUGAGAUUAGUGUUUCUGUUUGAGCAAGCAUGUGGGUUGAACACUUGCACGUCACAGAAGGUUCUUUCAUGCCUACCUCCCCAGAAUCCGCUCAUGGCGACGUCUAGUCUUGCCCCAUCUUGUGUGAUGGCAGAGGCUCCCUGAAACGUUUCUCCUGUGACCGGUUGCAGAUCUGUCUUAUAGUAUUCUUGUAAUAGCAAACUUCUCCUGUGGAGAUUGGGUCAGUUCAAGGUAGCAAGGCUUUACUGAGAUUUACUGUGAGCAGCGACAACUUCUUGUGAUGGAGAUUGAGUCAGUUCAAGGUAGCAAGCAAUCCAGUUCUUAGGGAGGACCUGCACAGACUGCUGACGUGACUGUGUGUGUGUGGGAGAGGGGCACACAGUGACAACUUCUUGCGAUGGAAAUCAGUGCAUGCGCAUGCGCUUAUCACUGCGCCCUUAUUCUUGUGAUAAGUAGCCAGAUAUAUACCUGCGAGUGACUUUUAACCAUGCAUGCGUAGCAGUGCGUGUAACGUUAAAUCGUAUCUGGUAUGCCCGCCCCUGCCAUGAGUGCUCAGCUACAAAGCCUUGUUAAACUGGAGAUGAAACCCGCAGAAAACAUCAUAAUUAUAUAUCACAGUACAGGCUGCGAGACAAAUCAGCAGGUCAAGUUGGAGGCGAAGGUCUUGCUUGAGGGAGGGCACGCUACAUGAUGAAUGAUGGUGCUGAAUUCCAGUUGCUGCACACUCAUCCCGCUCACUUCUUCGCCGAGAUUUAAAAAAUUAAUUUAACUUUGCAACUAUAGUCAUAAAAAUUAAUUUGAAACUAAAGAUACAUAACCUGCAUCUUCCUCUGCCCCACAGAGCUCUUAUAAUCAUAUACUAUAUAAUUGUAGUCAGUCCAAUACAUUUAUGGUGCAGUGUUUGUUGUUGAAACAGGCAAAAGAGCCCCCUUAUAGCCGGGUUCAAGUUCCAAGGCAGGACAUUUUCUUCAGUUAAAUAUGUAACACAACACCGAGCCGCCGCAUGUUUUUUAUCUUUCGACCCUGCAGAAGCUCAAAUCGCAGUAGAUGCCAGAGUGAUGUACACCUUAAACAUGUUUGUACUCAAAAUUGUUUGGUAGUAGUUGGUGUCUGUCUGAAUCUGCUGCCAAUGCGCUAUCUUCCUGGUGCACACUUGUUACAGCCGCUGUUGCUUGCCACUUUCUUAAUUCUCGUUGGCGUACUGCUUGCACAUAUAACACAGCGGGCAGUUAAAGAAAUAUGCAUAUCUUGAUUAAUUUACUCUUUUCAAUAUUCACCCUGAUCUCCACAUCAGGGUCCGCGGUGCUUUCAUUAUUAUGUUCUUACUAUAAAUAUAAUUAUAAUUUUGUUUUCCAAUCAACAAAAAAACUUAUUACUAUUACGCUUCAAUACACAACCGAUUUAAUAAUUGAAGUUUACCUCCUACCGGACAUCCCUAGGCUUUCUAUGACAUCGUGGCAUACUCUUAUAUGACGUACAAGGUGGGUUUUGUAUGCCUUCAACCUUCGUAUCUCUGAUAACGCUAUGUGACAGACAUACUUUUUCCUUUUAUAGUCCUCAAGUCAUUGUGAAAUGACACAAAUCAUCAGGACUAAUAAAUUAUUAUGUUUUUAUAUAAUUGUAUUCUCUGUUUAACAAAAUCUUUUUCUUAUUACGUUUCAAUUAACAUUCUGCGUCCCAGACAGGGCCGGCGACUAUGGUAACCAAACUAGACCCAGGGGCAUAGGUUAGGGCCCCAGAGUGGGUGUGUGGGUACUAUAGAAACGUAGAGAGAUGGGGUAUAGUAUGGAUGGCAGAGAUACCGAGACAGGGGCCCUCACCUCCAUGGCCGCUUGACCGGCAACGUUGACUGUCUGCACCAGCAUGGCCUGUAGGGUAGCCAGGGCCGUCGGAGAACCCCCAGGUUCUUGCUCCAGCUGAACUCGAAACCAGGGCCGACGAGACUGGCGCAAUGAGUAAAAUAAAUAAUUGUUCCUGUAGACACUCUUUGGCGAGUUAUGUCUGUAACAGUUUUCUCAAGCAUGGACUUGUAGCAGAGAGAUAUGCGUUGUUUAAGCUCUUCUUCUGUCUGAUACAAGAGAACGCUCACCACCAUCUUAUGAGUGAGACGUGAGUUCUUAUGGAUGAGUCCUUUCUGGGUGCUUGGCAGAAGAAGUGGUGGAGCCAGUGUGUGUACUGUGUGAUGUGUGUGUUAAGUGCGUGAACAGUUGUUGAUGAAGUGGUGAUAGUAUAAUCUUCCUUUGCUCUUGUUUUUCCAAAGUAAUUGAGUGAGUAAAAUGAGGAGGGAAAACAAUGUUAAGUCCUAGCUCUAUAUAUACGGGUACAGGUACCAGCACACACCGCCUUUAAGGUACGUAUAACUGAUGGGGAAAUUUGCUACUGUCAGUGUGGUGCCCCCCCAAACAAGAUACUGUCAGAGUGGUGCCCCCCAAACAAGCUACGGCCAGUGUGGUGCCCCCCAAACAAACGGUGGUGGGCUAAGAUACAACUAUUCCAACGAAACCUCCUUCCCCCGUUACCAACCUCCCAGCCAGACCUCAGCCUGUCAGUGUGGCCACAAUAAUCUUAAUUCUCUUCCUCUUAGGACUUGUGCGUUAGCCAGCAAGUUCAAUUCAAAACCACCAUAAGUACUAAAAUAGCUAUUUCCAUUUGGACUACAAAAUCUGUGUUGUACAAAAUUGAGCCGUUGCUAAGCUAUAAGUAUUAUAAUCUUCCUCUUCCUCAUAAUUAUGUCUGUGACCCUAAAGUGGGCUCAGGUAAGACUAUCCCCAUCCAUGUGAAUGAACCAGAUGCUGCACCACGCGCCCAGACCAGUUUCUGUCUCACCAACAACUGCACUCAGAUUCGUCAUAUCUCCACUAGCACUAAAACCAGACUUUAUACGCUUCUCUGUAGAACAUCAGCCGUAAGGUCAAUACACACCUGAGCAAAUCCGUCUCCUUCUCCGACAUUGUAUAGACUUCACAAGAAUGCAUAGGUUACAUGUACUCUCUCCAUUACUAUACCAGCCAAAUUAUUUUUUUUAUAAAUAGUUUAACUAUAGCUUACCGGAUAAUCUCUUUCCACUUUCGAAUGAAUUGAAUUUUAUCCCAGGCCAUUGCCCUCUUUUCUCUCUUAUCAGUAGAACGUUUCUUCGUACUCGAACUCCAGUCCAUGAAAACAGAUCCAACUAGAAAACAGACACGCUUUCAUUAUCUAGGUUGCUAUUAUUGUGUGUGCAGGUUGGUGGAGGAGCACUCUAAAACACUGGAGAGGGUCACUGAACUAUGGAAGCAGAAGUGGCCGGUCAAUUGGGACGAUGUGCGUAUGCACACACGCCCACGCCUGUGAAACUGUAAAAGAAAUGAUAUACUGUUACUAUACUAUUAUAUAGAGUUUGUAUGCAGCGUAACAAAACAAAAUCGACAAUUAAUGCUACAAAUUAAGACAUAUUGUAUUAGUCGUCAGAUAUAUCGUGAGUGACAUUAACCUUCCAUUUCCUCUCCUCCUCAGUCUUCCUCUUUAAUUUUCAUAUUCGUCAUCCUCCUUCUUCCUUUUUAUUCUCACAGCCUCAUCUCCUCCUCGUUCUCCUCAUAUCUCUUCCUUUUCUUUUCUGCUCCUCCUCCUCCGCACAGGUGGGGGCAUCAGGUUGAGGGUAAGAGAGGAGGGAAGCGUUAGCAAGGGAAUCCUUGGUUGCGUUGAAGGAGGCCAGAGCUGAAUCGUUCCAUGUGAGUGUUUGGGUUUUGGGUUUGAUGAGGGAGUGCAGUGGUUGCAUAAGGUAAAAGUUGGGCCAUUUCCUCCCUCCAGCGCAUUUUUGAUUCAUCAGCUUUUCUUUUUCUCUCCGUUUUCUACAAGAUUUUUACCAUUAUAAGUUGUAAUACUAUAUAUACCUGUACUGGAUCUUCAAGAUCUUUAUCUGGAUUGAAGGUGUAAGCUGUGAAAUUCUGACACACAAAAGAAUGAAAUAAUCAUACCUUGUCGAGCAAUUGUUCAUCGUCUCUUGAUAUUUUUGGGGACAAUGUUCAUAACUGUUUCUUCCGAGCUGAAGACACUUGUACUAGCCAUUUUAAUUUAAUUUUUAAUUCCUUUUUGCAAAUGCAACAACUUUUCGUAACAUCUACUUUUAUAGAACAUGCAACAGGAUCAUCCAGUUGGACCGUUUGAAUUACUUAUUCGAGGCAGAACCAUCAGAAGUGCAUGAUGAGCAGAAUGGGUACGCUUCUCUGUAGAACACCAGCCGUAAGGUCAAUACACACCUGAGCAAAACCGUCUCCUUCUCCGACAUUGUAUAGACUUUGCGAGAAUGCAAAUUGCUGCAAAAGAAAUUAUAUACUGUUACUAUACUAUUAUAUAUAGAGUUUGUAUGCAGCGCAACAAAACAAAAUUGACGAUUAAUGCUACAAAUUAAGACAUAUUGUAUUAGUCAGAUAUACCGCGUGAGUGACUUUAACCUUCUAUUUCCUCUCCUCAGUCUUCCUCUUUAAUUUCCAUAUUUGUCAUCCUCCUUCCUUUUUAUUCUCCACAGCCUCAUCUCCUCCUCGUCCUCCUCAUAUCUCUUCCUUUUCUUUUCUGCUCCUCCUCCUCCACCCUCUUUUUUGGGCCAUUUUCUCCCUCCAGCGCAUUUUUGAUUCAUCGGCUUUUCUUUUUCUCUCCGUUUUCUACAAGAUUUUUACCGUUAUAAGUUGUAAUACUGAUAUAUACCUGUACUGGAUCUUCAAUAUCUAGAUUGAAGGUGUAAGCUGUGAAAUUCUGACACACAAAAGAAUAAAAUAAUCAUACCUUCCAAAUUGUCGAGCAAUUGUUUAUCGUCUCUUGAUAUUUUUGGGGACAAAUGAUUUGUCUCCAUAGCUGUUUCUUUACAGCAUAGCCAUAGAGGAGAAGACCUGACCCGCUGCUAUAUAUAGUGCUUCAUCUCAGCCAAUCAGAAGAAUCUAUAGUGCUAUAUAAAACUCCUCUCUAUCUCUGGUUUAGUUUUAUUACUCCUGAGUUGCUGUGCAAGUCAUGCAUGAUGAUAACUUAGAGUGCCUGGCGGGUCCUUCUUCACCUUCCGAGCCUUCAACCACUUCCUUUUCUUUCGAAGCAGGGACUCCUCAGGAUCGGAAGAGUGUGAACUCAGUUCAACCUGUGUAAAGUGUUGAUUAAGUAGUGUGUAACAAAUGUAUCUUACCUCGGGAAUGUGGUACAUGAGGGGAGAAUCAUCUCUCUCACGUGACGGUUGAAUGAGGGGAGAAGCCUGUGUGAGGGGAGAAGCCUCUUUUCUCACGUGACGGAACAAUGAGGGCUUCCUUAUCCACAUCUGACGGUUGAGAUACGGGAGAAGCCUCUUUCGGUUGAAUGAGGGGAUGUGUGAGGGGACGUGACAGACCAAUGAUAGGGCUCCAGUCUGCCUAAUCUGACGGUUGAGAUGGAUCCAUGUGCUCAGUGCCAUCCAUAAGUUGCUGGGUCGAGGCAGUGACACGCUAUUGAAAUGAGUGACCUGAUUACACUAUAACUAUGAUACUUGACAAACCUGAAGAGUGGGCCAAUCAACUUGUAGGUCCUUGUCAUAGGACCCGUGGAUUUCAGACAGCCUCUCUAUUGUGAUGUUUUGCUGUCGCACGUACAACCUGAGCCUCCGGUUCACGGCUUCUAAGUGGCACACAUUCUUCACAGCCUUUAGUAAUUAACCUUGAAACAUCGAUAUCUUGGAGCAAUAUGUUGUGGAAUUUCUUAGCAAUAAAAGUUAAUCUUGGAGCAAUAUGUUGUGAAAUUUCUUAGCAAUAAUCCGUGGUUAACUUUAACAUCUUCCAUGCAGCUGCAUGUGGGGCCAAUGGUUUGGCACCUCUUCAUCAGCUGGGUAGACACUUUAUUAGUUCAGACUUGUAGUUCAGAGAAGACAAAGUCCUGUUAUCUCACCAAGGACCCCUAACACUUAGUGAGUGACUUUUAAUUAGCACUGCCUUGUGUAUAAUGAAGUGGCUGAAGAUGUUUACAUCUGUAUAGUUAUCUAUUUUGUUAUUAUACCAACAUAAUUAUUUUCACAGGGGUGCGAUUUCACUAGCUGUUUAGCUCAUUUUGCUGGGUGCUUGCUCAUGCAAGUAUCAUAGCAGAAAUUAAUACUCUCGAAAAUAUGUCAUUAUUAUUUGUUUGACAUACGUAGUAGCCAUGACGAGAGAGUUGUUUUUAUAAUCUCAAUUGUCGUGCUUGACCCAGAGCAUCCUAUAUCAUGUGAUUUUUAAUCCAAUUAUUAAAUUGCCCUACACCUAUACUAAACCUUCAAUGUCGCAAGUCUCUAACUGAUUGGCAUUCCAAGAGCACACGGAAAUGCUAGUACAUUGUGUUCCCCACCCCCUUUUUGUAUUUUUGAUUGUGUAUUCCCUCAGCAAGCUAAAGACUAUAUAUAUAACUACCGUCCAAACGUUCUGCUCCUCACAAACGUGCCUACGAGAUGCUCCCCCGACUACUGGGAAACGUGGACAUCCGUAAAACAAAAGCCAAAAUAAUACAGUCAUGUAUAUAGCUCUUGUGAUGUGAUGUACCGUAUUACUUGCUGGUUGCGAAUUCGCUAAAUCAGCAGAAAAAUAGACUCUUGCGAUUCUAUUGCGUUUUGGCAAGGAUUAUGUGCAUACAAUCACCAGUACUAGUAUAGGUUUUGCGAUAUUGCAUAUACAUACGUGUAUAGUAUUUUGAGUACUACCAAUUUUCUUGCAGGCUGCCAAUUCCCAUGGACAUAUUGAAGAAAGAUAGUAUUUUGAGUACUAGAAUCUACCAAUUUUCUUGCAGGCUGCCAAUUCCCAUGGACGUGUUGAAGAAAGAUUCGGCGCAGGAGAUUCAGCAAGCACCUACACAUUGGUCUAGGCUCGUGCUGCAACGUCUCUCCAUUGGAAGGUACGUGGGGUUUUUCAAACAGCUGGUCACUAAUACACUAGCGGCAAUCAAAAGAGUCUCCUCCUCUCUAGACUACGUAAUAUCCAAAGACCCUCCCCCCUCCUCCUCGGCCCUACUGCUAGCUGCCAGUCAGUGACAAAGGGACUCUUACCAAGCGAGUCGAACUCAACACUGACACUGUAGCAAUGCUGGCACUGUAUUGACAACUGUACCAAGACUACGGCGUUUUUAUUUGCUUUUAUCUUUCAGGCCUUUCAAUGUAUAUAUAUAUAUAUACUGCACAUGUGUCAGUUUGUUGUA